rnacentral:lncRNA from 1 species
AAAUGGAAGGACAGGUCGGACUGAUGGAGAAUAUGGAUUCAUGCUGAAAUGGGGAAACAAUCAGCAUGUUUUCUCUAAAAGAGUCCACAUAACAGUGACCGGUGAGUGGCGCCAAACUAAAUGUAAUACUUAUUGUAAAUAUCAAAUUGUCAUUAAAGUCACUGUUGGGUAUGGGUAUUGUAGUUGCAGUUGCAAUGAAUACAUAGUUCCACAUUCAUAUUUGAUCCAUUCAAGCAAUUUUUCUUUGCUUAAAGUGUUUUACAUAUAUGUUAUAUUCUGAACACAAAACAGUAACAAUAGUAAAUUAGUGAAAAACAAAGAUAAUUAGAAGGAGAUUGCCAUUGCAUUACUUUGGGAUCACACAUACGUUUGUGCAGAGUAUGCUAAUGCUAUGCUUUUGAUAUUCACAUAUGUAAUUACUGUGUGGUAAACAACAGGUAUCUCAAGCAAACCACAGAUGGAUAUUCCUCCUCUGACAGAGAAUCAGUCUGCUACUCUUAGUUGUGAGAUGGAACGUGCAUAUUGCUCUGGACCAACUACAAAAAUAGAGUGGAAGGGGAAAGCAGCAGACAAUCAUCCAAUUUUAUCAGGAGUUGGUGGGCUGUCAUCUACUGGGGUCUAUAGUCAAAGAUCAUUUUUUAGUCUCAUAUUUGACUCCACUUACCAUAAUACUGUUCUGACAUGUAUGAUUGUGUACAUGGAUGAUAUCAUCACAGAGCAACAUGUGACCCUGAUCGUAAGAUAUGCUCCCAAGAUAGAGAAUGGUUCUAAAUGCAGCAUCUCUGAGCACCUCUCAACCUGUGUGUGUAUCAGUCAUGGGGUGCCCUUGCCAAUCAUCACAUGGCCACUAGGGUUCACUUCUCAGGACUACAACAUGACCACAUCAGCGUCCGAUGACACUGUGACCAGCACCAUCACCACAUCAGCUGCACUCCUUAGGGGAAAUGACACUGUUAUGUGUCUCAGCAAGAAUGAGCUUGGCCAAGCAAGUAUGACGCUGACAGUUAACUUUACUAAAAGAGGAGAAGAAAGUAAGUUUCUAAAGGUGUUGUUGUGACCCAGCAUAUAUGUACUGUGCCUUGAGAAAUGGAUAAGGACCCUCUUUACAUGAGAUUAAGACUUGUCAGGAAAACACAGACAGUAUUUAUUUGUUUAAAACAUUAAAAUAUGAUCAUCUAUUACUGCACAGAUCCUUUUAUUCUUUGUUCUUACAAGCCAUAUAUAAAUUAUGCUAUAUUUUAUAUAGAUCCAUUACAGGGACCUGGACACUGCAACCUUCCAUGGACACUGGCAAGCCUGUCAGUUACUUUAAAUGGGUUCCUGUUUUUGGGCCUUUUCCUCCUUGUAGUGGCAUGGUAAGAGAUGCUGAUUACUAGUGUCUGAGAGAGAGAUGGUGAGAUGUUAAUAUGAUGUUAAGGUAUAUUAUUUAUGUAAGAGAUGUUGAUUACUAGUGUUUAAGAGAGAUGGUGAGAUGUUAAUAUGAUGUUAAGGUAUAUUAUUUAUGUAAGAGAUGCUGAUUACUAGUGUUUAAGAGAGAUGGUGAGAUGUUAAUAUGAUGAUAAGGUAUAUUCAUUUUGUUUUUAGGUAGAACACAUUUUUGUCAAGAUUUUCUAAUGAGGAUUUGUUUUGACAGGAAGCGCAGCAAAGCUGUGACAGGAAAGGAAGAGAGCCAAACGUACUCUUCACUGGCCAGGAGAGAUGAGUCUGUCUACGACACCAUCAGCCAACGACCUUAGGAGAUCAGUGAAGCUAGCGUAUUGGUUUAAUAGUGGACCUUAGGAGAUCAGUGAAGCCAGCGUAUUGGUUUAAUAGUGUACCUUAGGAGAUCAGUGAAGCCAGCGUAUUGGUUUAAGUUUAAUAGUGGACCUUGUGAGAAUCAAUGGAAAUGUAGGUUCAUCACUGAUCAUAAACAUAGUUGAUUUAAAACAUGAAUUGUUCAUCGUACAUCUAGCCCUAAUACCUAAAUGAUAUACUGGAAGACCACUUGUUUCUAGUUAAGCCUGUUUCCAGCAAACCCUUUUGCCUUGCUCUUUGCUUUGCCUUGUACUUUGUCAUUUUUGACUUGUUCACUUGCACUGAAAUGAAAAUUAUCAUUAAAUAAUGAAUUUCUAUGAUGUACUAAGCCCUGUAUGUGUACAUUUUAAUAAUUGACCUAGUUCUACGUGCCGUGUUGAGUGGAUAACUGAGGGUUACAGAUCAUCUCGCACUGACAAAUUAAAAUUGGAGUCUUGCAACAGUUUCUUAGUUUUCUUUGUUCAGUCACCACAACCAAACUGAAGCAUUAAUCACUGAAUUAAUUUACUAAGAACAAAUAAUAAAUCAUCAUAAUCAAUGUCA